UUUUUUUUUAAAGAUUUUAUUUAUUUAGUUGGGAGAGAGGGAGACAGUGUGCGUGAGCAGGGGGCGGGGGCAGGGGCAGAGGGAGAAGCAGACUCGACUCCCCACUGAGCAGGGAACCCAGGUUGGGGUAGGAUCCCAGGACCUUGAGAUCACGACGUGAGCCAAGGGCCGACGCUUAGCUCCCUGAGCCACCCAGGCGCCCCAAACUUUACUUAAGAUUAUUGUUAUAAAAGACAGCAACGCCUUUUAGAGAAGUUGUGUGAUUCUUGUACCUGGCGGUUGUCUUUUUCUCCUGGCAUCCUUCUUCUCCCUCCCCUUGACUCCAGGCUUGACUGGGGAAGUUCAGGUUAUCUGAGUAAAAAGACUUUGCUGUGCUCCCAGGCUCUGGCUACUGUUACAGUGUGUCAUUUUGUAUCCUUCCUAUUUCUCCUGGAGCAUUUCCUUUUUCUUCCCUCUAUCUUUCUUCCAGGUAGUUCACCUUAAGGAUAACCUGGAAGAAGAAACAAAUGCUGUGCCAUUGCCUCAGGCUCUACCCUCUGUCAAUUGGUAAAUCACCAAGCUAGGUUUACCGUUACAGUUCAAUAAAAUAUUUGGAAGAAGAGAAUGCACGUUUCCUGUUCCUAUUUUGAAAAGCUUUUUUAAACAUCUUAAUCUCAUAAGUUUGCAUUUUAUAUCUAACGGGUUAUUAAUGGUCACAUCAUCUUGAGCCAGUUAAUUAACCUCCUUGAGCCCAUCAUUCCGUAUUCCUAGCGGGAAAAAAUAACAGCAGCUGCUGCAUUACUUCACAGGACUGUCAGACUCAGAUGGAAUAAUAAAACUGGAAUUUGUACAAGUGUUGGUUGUUAUCUUGUUAGAUGGGAAAUACCUGCUUGUAUUAACUUAGCCAGAUUGGCCACGUAGUUGACACAUGGCACCAAAGUAGAGGCGUAGGUGCAUCUUCCAUGCCUGUUUGCAUUUGGGGAUUAUUUCUUGAUCACUUUGUACAAAAGAAGAUUGGCUUAUUUUAACAGUAUGAAUGAUGUAUGUCGGGAGUAAAUGAGUGUAGCACAAAUCUACGGGAUAGUGCUCCCAUAAUCUCUAAGGGUACGCUAGGAACUUGGAACUUUCAAAUUUCUUUUGACAAAGUGCUUCCUUUUUUUUGUUUUAAAAAGGUUUGUUUUGUUUUGAAUUUCAGAUGGAGAGAGUGAGAGAGAAAGAGUGCACAGAUGUGGGAGAGAGAAUCUCAAGUAGACUCCCCAGGCAGGGCUUGAUCUAAGGACACUGAGGUCCUGAGCAGGGCUGAAAUCAAGAGCCGGAUGCUGAACUGACUGAGCCACCCAGGCGCCCCAACAAAACGGUUUCUUUUCAUGUCUUAGGAGUACUUUGCUUGAGAGAAUGUAGGUGUAUUUUGUGGAGAGAAAAGCUGGCUGUUUUUCCUUUUUUGUAUUUUUUAUUUUUAUAAGCAGUAAGAUUU
rnacentral:lncRNA from 1 species